CCUACGGGAGGCAGCAGUGGGGAAUAUUGCACAAUGGGCGCAAGCCUGAUGCAGCAACGCCGCGUGAGGGACGACGGCCUUCGGGUUGUAAACCUCUUUUAGUAGGGAAGAAGCGAAAGUGACGGUACCUGCAGAAAAAGCACCGGCUAACUACGUGCCAGCAGCCGCGGUAAUACGUAGGGUGCAAGCGUUAUCCGGAAUUAUUGGGCGUAAAGAGCUCGUAGGCGGUUUGUCGCGUCUGCUGUGAAAACUGGAGGCUCAACCUCCAGCCUGCAGUGGGUACGGGCAGACUAGAGUGCGGUAGGGGAGAUUGGAAUUCCUGGUGUAGCGGUGGAAUGCGCAGAUAUCAGGAGGAACACCGAUGGCGAAGGCAGAUCUCUGGGCCGUAACUGACGCUGAGGAGCGAAAGCAUGGGGAGCGAACAGGAUUAGAUACCCUGGUAGUCCAUGCCGUAAACGUUGGGAACUAGAUGUAGGGACCAUUCCACGGUUUCUGUGUCGCAGCUAACGCAUUAAGUUCCCGCCUGGGGAGUACGGCCGCAAGGCUAAACUUAAAUGAAUUGACAGCUUGAGCGNGCGAGAGACGACGAGGAGAGG
rnacentral:rRNA from 1 species